UCCGUAGGUGAACCUGCGGAGGGAUCAUUACACAAAUAUGAAGGCGGGCUGGAACCUCUCGGGGUUACAGCCUUGCUGAAUUAUUCACCCUUGUCUUUUGCGUACUUCUUGUUUCCUUGGUGGGUUCGCCCACCACUAGGACAAACAUAAACCUUUUGUAAUUGCAAUCAGCGUCAGUAACAAAUUAAUAAUUACAACUUUCAACAACGGAUCUCUUGGUUCUGGCAUCGAUGAAGAACGCAGCGAAAUGCGAUAAGUAGUGUGAAUUGCAGAAUUCAGUGAAUCAUCGAAUCUUUGAACGCACAUUGCGCCCUUUGGUAUUCCAAAGGGCAUGCCUGUUCGAGCGUCAUUUGUACCCUCAAGCUUUGCUUGGUGUUGGGCGUCUUGUCUCUAGCUUUGCUGGAGACUCGCCUUAAAGUAAUUGGCAGCCGGCCUACUGGUUUCGGAGCGCAGCACAAGUCGCACUCUCUAUCAGCAAAGGUCUAGCAUCCAUUAAGCCUUUUUUUCAACUUUUGACCUCGGAUCAGGUAGGGAUACCCGCUGAACUUAAGCAUAUCAAUAAGCGGAGGAAAAGAAACCAACGGGGAUUGCCCUAGUAACGGCGAGUGAAGCGGCAACAGCUCAAAUUUGAAAUCUGGCUCUUUUAGAGUCCGAGUUGUAAUUUGCAGAGGGCGCUUUGGCUUUGGCAGCGGUCCAAGUUCCUUGGAACAGGACGUCACAGAGGGUGAGAAUCCCGUACGUGGUCGCUGGCUAUUGCCGUGUAAAGCCCCUUCGACGAGUCGAGUUGUUUGGGAAUGCAGCUCUAAAUGGGAGGUACAUUUCUUCUAAAGCUAAAUAUUGGCCAGAGACCGAUAGCGCACAAGUAGAGUGAUCGAAAGAUGAAAAGCACUUUGGAAAGAGAGUCAAACAGCACGUGAAAUUGUUGAAAGGGAAACGCUUGAAGU
rnacentral:sRNA from 1 species